UUUAUUUUUCCCUUCUUUUCCUUUUUUUUUUUCUUUACUUUCCUUUUAUGGGGUCAAUUAGGAAAUUAGCCAAAAAAUAAAAAUGCCUUUCUUCAACUCCUCUGUUUUGGUAACAGUAAGAAAAUACCCAAAUAACUUUGUGAUAAAAAUAAUUGUGUAAUAUUCCCUAAUUUUUCAAGGAAUUAACAGGGUUCACUACACUGUAACUCUGUGCGCUCAAAGUUCGAAAGGCUUGUUUAUGUAUUGUGUACAGGGUUGUUUUGUAAAACUGUGAUUUAAGACAAGAAGCACUUACGACUUUUGCUUCUGUGUUCUUUGGAGCAUUUGCUUUUGUAGCAGGGAAAAUAAUUCUUGACUCAGUCAAGAAUAGCAACACUUAACUCUGAUCCUAUCAUACCUAAGGUUUCAAAAUUGGGUGAAACAAACAGGUAUUGAGCAAAACACGUGUGCACACAUUUUAUUUUUAUCCAGAAUUUCCAUCAGGAAUUGCCAUAGACUUCGAAAGCUAUUGAUUUGUAAGGCCACAUUUUCUCUUAAGCUACCGAAAAUUCUCUAGUUCUCCUCCUUAUAUUCUCUCAUUUGAGGAAAACAAAACAAACAACAACAACAAAACAUCUCUUUCCCUUUUGCCUUAUUUCCAGACUCUUCAAUCAAUUCUUCUCCACAGAAUAAGAUCUCCUCCAUAUCCCUUGGUGGAUAAUAGGAUUUUAAUGAAGUUCAGUGAUUGAGCAGGCUAGUUAGCAGUGGUUCAUCCUUGUGAAAUGCCUUUCCAAAGGACACUGCUGGUGCCCAGCCUUCUGACAUAACAUGGCAUGACCUUUUCAUUUUAUUUUAGGCUAUUUUUUUGUUGUUGUUGUUACUAUGUUUUUACAGUACACUGGGGUAGUUUUCAUAGUUAGAAGAACAGAGGGAGCUGUAAGAAGGAGCUGUAUCUACUACGCAUUGCAAUGGAAGAGAGGGUGCUUAUCCCGUCCCUCCCAAAUCCCCAACAGCACUGUAGCUGUUUCCAGCUGUGUGCUUCUGCAAUUGCAGUGGAAUAUUGUGUUUGAUUACUCGUAUCUGCUUGAAAGGAAAUAGAGACUGGUAUUUUAUAAUUAAAAAUGCUUAUUCUUUUUUCUUUAAAAGAUGCAGUUGUUGUCUACGUGCUUAAACUUUUAUUAGAUUAUAGUACAAUAAAUUCAAAUGUAUUCAAAUAAUUAUCAAAAGGAAAUCUAAUUUUAUCAAAAUGUUUAAUACAAGGUUGAAACAGGUUCAGUCUGUUCCCCCUUCAUGUGGCUGGUCCUUCCCACCAGUACCGUUUUUCUCUGCAGUGUAUUUUAGAAGUUCUAAUUUGUAACCAAAAGAAAAGGUUUUUAGUAUCACCCCCCCCCCCAUUACAAUUGCAAAGAAUUGAAAUUACAAACAUGGACCAACCCUGGCAAUAAAAUACUGCCCUAAAUUGUCUAGGUUACAGAUUGCAAAUUCUUCCAUGGAAAGCACAGAGAAAUUAACAGGCUCAUGCAAGUUGCUCAUCAUGUUGAAGAAAAUGCAGCUUCCUAGUAUUUAGUUCUUGUCAGUAGUGCACUUAGUUUCUAACCUGUUAAACCUCUAGGUAUCUUCUAUCACCUUCUCAAUUUCACUGGCCGCUGGUGUCAUGUUAGUUCAGCUUUAUAGGAUGAGCUGUGUGGAAGAAAAAUGACUGUGAAAAGGAUAGCGUGGUUUUGUGCAUGUCCUGCUGCUCUUUCUAGGCCAGAGGUGACCAGAGCCAACCUUAGUUACAUGACGUGCUCUGCUAAUUGAUACUGCUGCACUCCAUGGUUUAUCUUGUGUUAUUGUGGAAGCCUAAUCCUAUGGUGACAAAUUGCUGGGUGACGUUCUUCUUAUCCCUAGUUUGUCCCUACCAUCUUUGGGAAGAGAGCUGCAGCCACAGGAAGACCAGCAUUCCUUGCUGUAAAAACUGAGGGAAAACUAAAUAGUGAAGCAUCCAAGACUUGAAGUGCAGUGCAACACUUCUCUUAUAACAUGGGCAACUUUUCAGAGCUGUGUGAGUUACAUCAAGGACCAUUUCAUGGCUUAUACCAUUUUUUGAUGAGCUACUGCAUCCAUGACCUCCUCUCUGGAGGCAGCUCAUGACAAAGGAAAGAUAAAACAAAAUGACCCCAAGGCAUCUUUUCUAUUUUUUCCUUAAUCUGCAUGUUGUGGGAUGGAUCUCAAAAGUGCAACGUAACAUCCUUCUCAUGAUCUAAAGUUGAACAAAAUAACCGUGCACAUCAUUGUACUUGAAUGCAAGGCCUAUUAACAAGAAUUUCUGCACUAGAAUUAGUAUGAAAAAAUGGAGGUGGGCAUGGGGACGCUAGCUGACCACACGGAGAGAUGCAAUGAGCCUUAAGAAAAGCAGAUAUCUGAAGAUGAAACAGUGGGUAUAAAUGUGGCCAAGAGACAGUUGAAGAGGUGGUAUUUUAUCCCAGUGUUCCACGCUCAUGAUACAAGAUCUCACCAGGGCUUUGGAUGAAAUAGAGACCAAAAAAAAAGGAGGAAAAAAAAAAGCCCAAUCAUCACCACACCCCAAAUUCUUCUGAGGCUCUGAAAGGCUAAGUUUUAGUCCAGAGCAUGAUCAGCUUAGUAAAAAGAUGAUAUGACAAUAUUUCUUGUGAUUUCUUGUGAUCCCUGGAGUGGGACCUAGUGUAAGGCUGGUAAGUCUGGGCAUUGGAUGAACCAAAGAUGAUAAGAAAUGGUUUUAAAGGGGGGAAACAUACCCUUAAUAUUGCUUACAAAAUAUGCUUUCGAUACACUUACCUCUCUUGACAAUUAGCAACUGUCCACCUUGUAGGAGAGAUUGGAUCAAGUGAGGAGUAGCAGAAAAGAGCCUGUGGAUAUCUUCGUGUACCACUCUGCAUGGAUUUUUGCAUUAAAUAUUAGCACAUAAGUAAGGUUGAAACAGAUGUCCCAUUAAUCUAAAUAACACCUAUUGCUAUGUUAGGUUGUUAUCUGGAGACAUUUAAUUUCAUGACCUGAUAUUACCCAUCCUCCAAUUAUUAAAUUCCUGACGGUAUUAAAAAUAUGUCUACACUGGCAACAAUGAUCUGUAAUUAUCAUUAUUUCUUGAUUUUACUGUGAGGUCAUGCACUGUUGGCUCUGAUAGCUUCAUGUCAUGCACUGCUGUAACACGGGUCAAUUAGGUCAAAAGAAGUAGACACUUUAGCCCUACGCCUCUAAAUGUUUUCACACUGCAAAUUACAUGACUGUAAGUUAAUAGAAGACUUCAGGCAUCCACAUGUUCACAGCUAAUCCUGAACAUGAGUAAAUCUCAUAGAAGGAACUGGAUUAACUAGACUGUCGUUUUUUUUUUUUUCCAUGUGGGAUAAGGAUUACAGAUCACAAAAUCCAGAAACACAGCUGUGUAAUGUGAUCUAAUUCGUUGUAGUUGCCUCGACCUUGGAGAUGAGAGGGUGAAGGUAGCUGAAGACUGCAACAAUUUAUUGGCAGAUUUAAUAGCGUAUCAAUCGCUUGAAGUCAAAUAAGGGAUCUUGAUUUUUAAAUCUGGGAGACUACUGUGAAAGUUUGUCCUCAAAAUGGAGAGUGUGUGGGGGAACUAGCUCAUUCCUACAGCAGAUUCUAGGUUUUACUGCUGCAUAGUAUACAUUCUGCCUACAUUGUUGUAUAGUGUAUAUCCUGUCUAUUUGUAAUGUACUAACGCUCUUUUCCAGCUUGUCAUCUUCAUUUGAUUGAACAAAAUUGGUCUGUUUUCAUUUAAAAUAUGUCAAGUCAACAAUACAAACAGACACAGCAUUUCUUUUGUUCCUUUAUAAAGAAGCACUCUAAGUAGCUGAUCAAAGGGGCUACAGAUUCUUUUGGUGAGCUUCUGGUAAACCAAGCUGUCAUUUCUAUGAAUGGUAUUUUGUAUGACUUUGGUUUUAGGUUUUUGUGUAGCAAAAUUCCAUCAGUGAAUGAUUCUCUGCAUUUCUCUUUCCUCUGCUAUUUAAUGUUGAUUUUAUGAAAUUGUGUUUAUUAAAUAUUUCAGUGAUGUUUUAACUGUAGCUUAAAAAUGUGUUUUGCCAGGCCAUUUGUUGAAGCAUCACCUGAAAACACCUUUUAAUUAGGAUCUUAUGCCUUUAGCAGGGCAGGUAGCGAGUCUUAAGGCACAGUUCAGACAAUAUAGUGGAACUCUACUCACUUUCCAGUUAAAUUGAUACGCUUGUACAAUUUGUACAAUGGCUAUAAAUCAAUACGCUUUUGACAUCUUGAGAAAACAGACAAUAGAAGGAUUUUCUGUGUUGCAACCAUUACAGUCAGUCUGCAGUAAGUCGUUUAAUAAUUCCAGCUUUGUGUAUCUGAAGGAGAAUGCGAGUGACCUUUCCUUCACCCUACAAAUGUUGCUAGCUCCCAGAUACGGAAGUUUGUGUUUCUAGAUUGAAGCCUUUCACAAAUUGCUGCUAACAGCUGUGUGUUUAACAAGGAGAGGUGUUUUGUCAUCAGGAGUAAUUUCACUAUUAAUUUUGUGGGCCAUUUAACAGAUUUUGCACAUCUUAGGUAAAUUUCAGUUCAAGGUUAGUGUACUGGAAAUGGGCAUUGUAAAGAGUGAGAGGUACUCCUGUAACCCUUUGUUGGCCUCUAGGUUCUUUGUUGUAUUUUAGUUAACAGUGCAAUGUGGACAGACUUCUGAUGCUACUGCUAGAUCAGGUAAUGUCUUUUUCUAGUCAAGUCUUGAAAUCCUUCCCAGGAGAGAGAGAGAUUGAGCCUGGUGAUCCAGCUAAUUUUCAGCACGCUGACAGCCUGCUUGCCUGUCUCAUACUAACUCGACUUCCAAAUGAUAAUGCUGUGGGAGUCAGUGUUAAAAGAACCAGUCAAAAUCUAAUUCUUUAGUUCAAACAUUGGGUUGCUUUAUCCAGGGGGACCACAUUCAUUCCUACAAGCAUCCUGAUACCUUGUUUUUCACUGUUGUCAUUCAAAGGCUGUGUAUUAUCCCCUGGAGAAGUUUGCAAUACGUUGUCAAUGCAGCUGUUUACCCAGAGGAAUAUUUCAGUCUUUCACCCCUUCUAGCCAGUGUUUCAGGCUGUAAUGCAAAUUCGAAGUUUGAGACUUGGAGUCUUGCUGACACUUCAUGUGAAAGGGAAGGGAAAGGUGUGGAUGUGUGACAAAACGAGGGUAAAAGCCUUCAGGACACCUCUGGGUUGUGCUUAGUAGAAUGAACAAAUGUUGGGGAUGAUGCUUGUUUUACUGCUGCAUUCUUAUUCUUUAUAAUAAGCCUUCAGGAUUUAUAAGGCUGAAGUGUAGCAAGUUGCUCUUACUCUAAGCAUACUUCUAGGGUGUGGAAAAAAUGAAGAUCUUAUGUUUGUGUGUUCCCAGUAGGUCAGAGAUUGAUGUAUGAAGAAGUGUUUGUCCAGAAAGCUCGUUUCCUUCCCGGGCCCUGAGGAUACAGUUUCACAAUUGCCACGAGCUGAGCUAAGCCUGUGCUGCUCCAGAAGGAGCGACCGUUCCCUCCUUUGGGCUGUUAUCAGUGCUCAUGUGGUUAGUUGGAUCAGCAGGCUCAUCUCCAAGGAGAAAAAGAGCUGCGUCUCCAUUUUACAGAUGAAGCGGGUUCAGCAGAGGGAAGCAGAGCCAGACAAUAAAUCAACGGUAGAGCUGGAAGACAGGGUCUUGAUAACAUGACUCUUGUUGUUGACAUCUAAAAAGUAGGAUCAUGUGGCUCUUUUUUUUUUUUUCUUUUUUUUUUUUUUCCCCUCCUUCUGAGACCUGCAUUUUACAUUCGGUCACUUGGAGCAUGGUGUAAUCCCAUUGGUUAAAUGUGGGUUCAAACUGGUGUAACUUCAGCCUGGAAUCUGCUUAUGUGUCUUUCUUCUGUUUAUUGUGUUUUUCUGGGAAGCAGCACAUGCUGUGCACGUCAGGGAUGUGCCUCCCUGGAGAAGCAUAAGCUGGAGCAAUUUUGUGCAGCAGAUUUCUUUGAUAGCUGCCUUGCCCCAGUAAAUCAUUAUGUUUGAUUUCUUUUUUGCAAUGUUAAUUUUCCCUGCUCAGUUUAUACACGUCUCUAAAUGAGAAAUAAAAUAUCACAGGUAAAGCAGAGGAAUUAAUAGCAGAUGGGUUAGGCUUAGUUGUUGGCAAUUAGGGAUCUUGUGGAUGUCUAGAGUCUAUUGCUACAGAUGUUUGUUUUAAUGCCACCAAUUCUUCACUGUUGUGCUGGGGAUUUUUGGCUAUUUCUCUUCCAGAUAGCAGUGAAGAGUUGUUGUGGAGGGAGCAUCCUAGCCAAAGUUCCAGAUUCCUUAAUCCUAAGCAGAGAAGAGGGAUUUGUUUUAAUAAAAGAGCACUCUGUUCCUGGUUUCUGCAAAGGGAAUUUGAAGGACUGGCUGCUUUGGUGCCCUGAACAACCCCUUCCGUUGUGUGGGCUGCUCUCCAGUGCUAAUGCUAAUUCAUAAUGGAAAAUAAUGCUGAGAAUGAGAUGGUUGUUGAAGGAAUAAAGAGAGAAGGGUUCACCCUCCUCCUUCAUUCAGAGAGUUUCAGUGCUCCUUUGGGAGCCCUGUGAACAUGAGCAAGUUUUGCUGUUCAUCACCUUUCUGAGCAGGUUUCAGUAGAAGGUACUGAGAACCACCCGGGCACCAGGCUGCUCUCUGUGUGGAUUGGGACAAUUACCUGGAGUGUAAGCAACUGUGGCACACCUUAGUUCUACAAGGGUAGUUUCAGGAAGCACACAAUUACCAGUAUUAUUCUAAUUAUCGUGCUUUCCUUUUAAAAGAAGUUUUGGGCAAUUUCACUUUUUCCCUAUAAGACAGCAAUAAUUCUCUUUAAAACAACCAGAUGGUUUUCUCUUUAAACGCUGCAGAAAAUACACAAGCUCUAGGGUGGAUGGAAGCUAUGGGGAGAACUGGAAUUCUCUGUUUAUAAGUAACAUGUGAGGAGCCAAAUUAAUCAGGCAUGGUUUUAAUUCUCCUGUAUGAUUAUUCGUUCGUUCCAAAGACGUUUAAAUGACAAAUAGCACAUGAAAUUCAGCCGGUGGAUGGGAGAGAGGGCUGGAAGAGAAUUCUUUCCAAAGGUAUUUGUAAUCGUCUGAAAAAAAAACAGUAAUUUUUCUAGAAGGAGGAGGAGCUGCUAGGGGAAGCCCAUGGGAUAUGUGUCCGGGCCGAGGAGGCAGACUUGCCUGGUUGUAAACAUCGAGCUCAGAAGAAGCAAUCGCUCAGGUUCUCCCUGAAAAAAAUCGCAUAUUGGUAUUUUAAGAGUGCUGGAGCUGAUACAUGGGCUUUGGUUCAUUUCCCUGAGGAUCUGUGUAGGUUUCUUGUUGGACUCAGUUAAAGCUUAAACUCCAGCACAUUUCAUGCCGCUUAUUUGGCUCAGACGGAUUACAAAGAAGUAGAAUUAGGCGAAAGGAGCGUGACAGUCCUACAUGUCAGAGGGCUCAGCGUUGGCCGACACACUUAGAAAUUCUCAGAGAUUCUCAGCUGAUUUUUUGGAACCGAGGUCAUGCCGGCAUCGAACGCUUCGUGAUCCCACUUCUGUGGCUGCGGUUGAACUUUAUGUUUUGGAUGCUUCUCAAACAGCUGGCUUUUAUAUUACAGAACUGGAAUUGUGUGCUGUUAAUCUCUGACUAGGCAGGAUGCAGAUAGUAUCUUAACUGCUGAGUGUAAAAGCGAUUUGGUAGUGUCCCUUGGAAGUGACACUCAAUUAUCAACCUACUGGAGGCCUUAAGAUGCCUUGAGAUUCCCCUGGAACUCCUUCCUCACAGAUAUGCCAGCAUCUUCCUUGAAGGAUGCACAAUAACUGAAACAAACGGACCUGUAUUUUCCCAGCUAUGUUUGCACAGGAAACAAAUCUAGGCAAAAUAAGUAACACCUAUGCCUUGCUCCCUCCGUUUGAUUACAGCUCUGGAGUCUUUGAAGUCUGAAGACUUUCAAGUACCUGAGCUUUCUCCUCUGGAUUCCUCACUCACAGCUCAUUCCUGCAGGCAGUACCUUUAGUUCCUGCUCGUUCUCCUCUGAAGACAUGCUCUGGUGUGUUUCUGCUCCUAAGCUUCACGGCCUUUGUUUACAGCAGGCCAGCAGAAGCGACUGCUUUGGGUGAUUCCUCACCCCCCAGCCUCAUUUUUUCUCUUUGUUGAUCUGGAGGCAGCUGGUUUUAGUAGGUGCUGAAGAUACUCCCUUUCUUUUAUAUACACUGAAGAUACUACUUUGUUGUAAAGCAGAAUGUUCCCUGUUUUGGUAGUAUAUCAUUAUUAAUACUUCUAAUCCUAAUAUGAGGAUAUUCACAUACCACUUUUCCCCUUUUACAAACCUUUAAGCUUAAAGAUAACCUUGCCACUAUAAUUACAUUCUCUAUGAAGUACACAGACUAUUGAGGAAAGUCUAAUAUCCAUACUUUAUAAUAGUUAAAGACCUGUAAAGAUACCUUGAAUCCUGCGGGUCUGGAUCAACAGGUUUUCUCUAUGCCUUUGUCCUGCUCAUCCUUCGUUAUUAAAACAGGUUUUGCUCAUCUGUGAGGUCAAUUACAAAGGUUCUGGAGCUCACUCAGCCACCAGAUUGUGUUGUGAUGUACAGAGAUGUGUGAGGCAAGCAGGAUGACCUGUCAGUGGCCACUGAGGGCUUUGAUUUGCUGACUGAAAUGCCACUGCAAAUAGUUGAAUCAAAGCGCCAUUCUUGAGAAGGAAGCUUCAUUUCAUUCUGCUUACCUGCAGAAGUAGGGCACUGUCAUCUCAUGCCAUUUGUAAAUGCACAAACUUUGUGGACUUCGAUGGUAAAGAAUUUGCAUCUGGAAAAGCUGCAGUUGACAGUUAAGUCUUUUUAUCUGGUAGAGGCUUCUUCCCUACAUUUUUCACCCUUAUUCUAUUUACUACCAAGAUUAAAUUGCCAUUAAAGCAUUUGCAGUAUUAUUUCUAAAUUUCCAUCGAGAUGUAGUUGCAGAGGUAUCACAAAAGUGAGUACAAAUGGUUGCUAGGUAGGUUAGACUGUAGAUUCUUAGCUGUUACAGAGGGGCCGAACUCUUCAAUAAGCAGGGCCCUCCGUUCUUGUCGUACACAUUUUGAUGGGAGAUGAAAUCCAUAAACAGACAGUGAAGACUGAGAAAACUUGAAUAAUGCCCUGAUUUGCAGCUCGGGUUGUCUGAAGGAAAAUGCAAAGUGAAAAGGGGAAUUCUGUCUAGCGUGUCUGUAGCUCUGAAUCAGGAAAGUGUUAAUUCAGGAUACACAUGAACUGAGUGAUUUGGAUUCACACUAAAAUUCGGGGUGUUUUAGCUUCAGGAUCUAAGCUGGACAUCGUUAAUUGGGGAAGCUGUUGCGGCCUGAUGGCUGCAGUUAGCUGCAAGGAUCAGUGGGUGAAAUGUUAUCAUUUGCUGCCUUGAUCUGCUUUGACUUCUUUCCAGUGUCCUGCCAUGAAAUUGAAGGUUCAGUGGCUGAAAUACCAUCCCCAAGUAUGGCAGUGACAAGCACAUGAAUAUGGAAUACGUGGCUGAAGCAAUAGCUAGAAAGCCAUUUCUGAAACCAUCUCCCUACGCUGAUCAAUGUGAGCUGUUCUAAUUAGCCGAGCAGCUGGGUUUUAGCUGCUUCUUAACUACGUCCUCGCUUAUCCAGGCAGUGGGAAGUCACAGUUGCUCUGUUCAUUUAGUGAUGCAGAAGCAGACAUCUUCAGCAUAGUGAUGAGGAUUGAAUUGUAACUGGGCUUUAUUACUGCUUUGGGAUUGCUUGCUUUUGGGGCCAGGCUCUAGAGAGGUAAAGUGGUACCAGGGUGAGUCUGAUUUCCUAAAUCAGUAGUGCUGAGCACUUGAUUUCUUAGGU